GCUUGCUUCGGCAGCAUAUACUAAAAUGGGAGAUUAGCAUGGCCCCUGUGCAAGGAUGACACUCAAAUUUGUGAAGCGUUCUAUAUUUUU
rnacentral:snRNA from 1 species